rnacentral:rRNA from 1 species
UACAGAGGGUGCUAGCGUUGUUCGGAAUCAUUGGGCGUAAAGGGCGUGUAGGCGGUUUGUUAAGUCAUGUGUGAAAUCCCUCGGCUCAACCGGGGAACGACGCAUGAAACUGGCAAGCUAGAGUACCAAAGAGGGGGGUGGAAUUCCCGGUGUAGCGGUGAAAUGCGCAGAUAUCAGGAAGAACACCUAUGGCGAAGGCAGCACUCUGGGACGGUACUGACGCUGAGACGCGAAAGCGUGGGGAGCGAACAGG